AAUUUUGGACAAUGGGGGAAACCCUGAUCCAGCCAUCCCGCGUGUAUGAUGAAGGCCUUCGGGUUGUAAAGUACUUUUGUCAGAGAAGAAAAGGUAUCUCCUAAUACGAGAUACUGUUGACGGUAUCUGCAGAAUAAGCACCGGCUAACUAUGUCCCAGCAGCCGCGGUAAUACGUAGGUUGCAAGCGUUAAUCGGAAUUACUGGGCCUAAUGCGUAUAUAGGCGGUACGGAAAGAAAGAUGUGAAAUCCCAAGGCUCAACCUUGGAACUGCAUUUUUAACUGCCGAGCUAGAGUAUGUCAGAGGGGGGUAGAAUGCCACGUGUAGCAGUGAAAUGCGUAGAUAUGUGGAGGAAUACCGAUGGCGAAGGCAGCCCCCUGGGAUAAUACUGACGCUCAGACACGAAAGCGUGGGGAGCAAACAGG
rnacentral:rRNA from 1 species